CUUCAUUCCUCCAACCCACUAACAGUUGCUUUAGUGGCACUAGGGCCAAUUAUUAGAUGAGGCCAUUUAUUAGACGAAACAAUGGAAUUGCAUUGGAGUGGAGACUCACUCAAUCUUUGAACGAAGACGUAAGCUGGAAAUGAGAAAGUGGCAUUCCUAAAGAUGGCUGCGUAUUGGUAUAGCAGAAUGUCAGAAGUCCUGUGGAUUCUAACCCAGAACAACUCAAGUGACCUCAGUUCACGAAGACAAAAGAAGAUUUUCGUUUGAUUGUGUCUGGGUGGGUGUUUCGUUCAAGCAAGAACUGAGCAAAAUAAAAGUUGUCUUUAUAAGUCCUCAGUCUAA
rnacentral:lncRNA from 1 species